UCCCUGGUGGUCCAGUGGUUAGGAUUUGGCACUUUCACUGCUAUAGUUCAGGUUCAAACCCUGGUCAGGGAA